rnacentral:lncRNA from 1 species
CUGAUCUUCCACGAUUCUCUACUGGUACAGAGACUUUAUCUUUCACACAGACUUCAAAUAUCUUUGGGAAUUUGUGCUCCUUAUUUACUGAGUGCUUGAGAAGAAAAGACAAAGCCAGUGGAAUGGUCCGAGUGUGGCAUCCGCUGCAUUUAUAAAGAAUAAGAGCUGCAGUGGGUGUGAUUCUUGGACAGAGUGGCGCUCAUCCUUGUUCCUGCAAUGAAGGACAUGCCAGCCUCCAGGCUCUUUGACAGAUGAUUGGAACUGUGCAAAUAUUAUGGAAGAUACCCCGUGUCAAGAAGCUGACAGCACACACGUUUGGGAAGGAUUUAGUGGCUGAAGCACUUCUAGAAGGGUCUCACUGUCACCCAGGCUGGAGUGUAGUGGUGUGACUUCAG